rnacentral:rRNA from 1 species
GACAGAGGGUGCAAACGUUGUUCGGAAUUACUGGGCGUAAAGGGCGCGUAGGCGGUUGGAUAAGUCAGCUGUGAAAACCACGGGCUUAACUCGUGGCCUGCAGUUGAGACUGUCUGGCUUGAGUGUGGGAGAGGAGAGUGGAAUUCCUGGUGUAGCGGUGAAAUGCGCAGAUAUCAGGAGGAACACCAAUGGCGAAGGCAGCUCGCUGGGACGGUACUGACGCUGAGACGCGAAAGCGUGGGGAGCAAACAGG